GGUGCGGAUACUUACGGACUGGCUGCGCUCCGGGGCCGCGGCGGUUCCGAUGCGCAGGCCUUGGAGGCCGGAGAGCGAGAGGUCCUUCGCCGGCCGCGGGGGCCCGGCACUGGAAUUUACUGAAAGGACACACAAGAGAAGAACUGAUAAACCAGAACUAAGGAGAGGAGCCCAGGACGCUUGUGGAUUCAGAGCCUCAGAUACACAUGGAUAGCCUUUCAAGAAGCUGCCUUUGGGUGAUUCAUUCACAGCUACCUCCAGUACACAUGUGUUUCUGCUCAGAUUCAGAUUCCUGAGCAAGAUGAACUGAUUGGUGUUUCUUUGGUUAUGUGCCACCCCUGACUUUAACUCCUGUGGUUGAAGAUCCACCAGAAUCAGACAAAACAAGCUGGGUGCUGUUACUAGGAGAAGGGAAAGAACUUCCAAGGAGCAGAAAAAGGAUUUUAUAAAAACCGUCCUCAUCUUAUUGAUUUAAACAUUAUGCAGGUAGCAAGUAAGCGAAUGCACUUGUGAAAAACCAAAUAACGAAGAGUAUAGAAUAAUACCUUACUUCUUACCUUACUCUCACCCCUAGAGUGCUGUUCCCCUGAAGUAACCACUGGCAAGUUUCUUUUAUAUCAGAAGAAAUACUGUGAGAUAGAGGGGAUGUUAGGUUUGAUUGCUACAACCUUCUUACACCGUCGACCAUUUGGAAACAGCUACAUCAGCUGUAAAGAGGAGUGUCCGCUGGUGUGA